rnacentral:rRNA from 1 species
AUUGAACGCUGGCGGCAGGCCUAACACAUGCAAGUCGAGCGAGCGGCGGACGGGUGAGUCAUGUCUGGGAAACUGCCUGAUGGAGGGGGAUAACUACUGGAAACGGUAGCUAAUACCGCAUACCAUCAGAUGUGCCCAGCUGGGUGUAUCUAGUAGGUGGGGUAACGGCUCACCUCGGAGACGAUCCCUAGCUGGUUUGAGAGGAUGACCAGCCACACGGGAACGGAGACACGGUCCAGACUCCUACGGGAGGCAGCAGUGGGGAAUAGUGCACAAUGGGCGCAAGCCUGAUGCAGCCAUGCCGCGUGUGGGAAGAAGGCCUUCGGGUUGUAAAGCACUUUCAGCGGGGAGGCGUUACCCGCAGAAGAAGCACCGGCUAACUCCGUGCCAGCAGCCGCGGUAAUUC